rnacentral:rRNA from 1 species
CGCUAGCGGCAGGCCUAACACAUGCAAGUCGAGGGGUAACAGAGGUAGCUUGCUACUUGCUGACGACCGGCGCACGGGUGCGUAACGCGUAUACAAUCUACCUUUUGCUGAGGAAUAGCCCAGAGAAAUUUGGAUUAAUGCCUCAUAGUAUGCAGACUUCGCAUGGAGACUGUAUUAAAGGUAACGGCAAAAGAUGAGUAUGCGUCCUAUUAGCUAGAUGGAGUGGUAACGGCACCCCAUGGCAACGAUAGGUAGGGGCCCUGAGAGGGGGAUCCCCCACACUGGUACUGAGACACGGACCAGACUCCUACGGGAGGCAGCAGUGAGGAAUAUUGGACAAUGGAGGCAACUCUGAUCCAGCCAUGCCGCGUGCAGGAAGACUGCCCUAUGGGUUGUAAACUGCUUUUAUACAGGAAGAAACACCUCUACGUGUAGAGGCUUGACGGUACUGUAAGAAUAAGGAUCGGCUAACUCCGUGCCAGCAGCCGCGGUAAUACGGAGGAUCCAAGCGUUAUCCGGAAUCAUUGGGUUUAAAGGGUCCGUAGGUUGAUAAUUAAGUCAGAGGUGAAAGUUUGCAGCUCAACUGUAAAAUUGCCUUUGAUACUGGUUAUCUUGAAUUAUUAUGAAGUAGUUAGAAUAUGUAGUGUAGCGGUGAAAUGCAUAGAUAUUACAUAGAAUACCAAUUGCGAAGGCAGAUUACUAAUAAUACAUUGACACUGAUGGACGAAAGCGUGGGUAGCGAACAGGAUUAGAUACCCUGGUAGUCCACGCCGUAAACGAUGGAUACUAGCUGUUCGGACUUCGGUCUGAGUGGCUAAGCGAAAGUGAUA